AGAGGAUUGGCUGAGUGGUUUAUAGCGGUAAGCUUGAAACUUAUUUAAUAUUGUUAUUACAUCAGUUCGAAUCUGAUAUCCUCUG